UUUGGAGAACCACCAACCCGUUCACCUAGGACUUGUACCAGAAGAAGACAACUUGGCCUGCAACAGAUACUCUUGUUUAUAUAGCCAGGUGGACAAAGCACAGUGUAUGUGGAAACUUUACUUCCAAUGGGUUUCAGAGAUACAACCAGGGCAGGAGAUGCUAUUGAUGGUUCAAUGAUGUUAUGGGAUGACAGUGGGAGCACGAAUAACCAACAGAAUCCUCCCCCCCUCAUUAUAAUGUUGCAUCAUUCAUAACAGUUAUCCACUAAAGAAUGCUUUCAGAGAAAUGGAAUGGGUUGGUGAGUGCUGACAACUACCUUUAAAAACUAGCUAAUUUUCAGAAUCCUAAAUCAUAUCAAGCUCCC